UUAAGUCCUCCUCACUCAAAAGACUCUGUGUUGGUCCACACGGUGGCCGGCUCGUUUUUUUUGUUUUUUUUCCCCAUCUGAUGCAGCCGACCAGUUGAAAGGCAAUCACUCUGCGGCCCGGCGGUCUGUGUUUUCAGAAGGCCGCUGGCUCACAGCUUGUUACCGUGUCAACCCGCUGACCACCCACGACUACGUCUGCAUGUCUCGACCCGGCACCCAGAGGCUCAUGGGUAAUCUUUCAUCCACUCUGUGAGGCUCUGUUCUAAACCUACACGAUUGUCCUGACCCCGCUGCUCCUUGCUAACCUGUGACGGAUCGUCUCCACGCUCACA